AUCAAUAAAAUCUGAUCUGACAAUGUCGUAUCAUUAGAGUAUUUUCCCAGAGAUCAACAAUGUGCAAUAAUUACAAUAAUCUGACCCGUAGAUGAAGACUGUUCAUUGUGAUCCACUUUCACACACAGGCUGUUGGGUCGCGUCCAGAACAAACGAGGUGUGUGUCAGUGUUUACAUACCACACUGAGACAUGAUUGGCAUUUGGCAUGAAGCUUCCUCUGCUAAAAGGAUUACACAAGUUAAGCACAGACAGGUCUACUUCAGCUUCUGCCGCUGGUAUUUUAUAUUUAUAGAGAAACAUGUUGCAGGAGAGUUAGCUCGAUAGCACAUUAGCCAAUAAAACCAUCUGGACAGUGCUGAGGGAGAGAGCCUCAACGUUAGCUGUAUUAUUACACCAAAUACGUUUAACUUCAUUUUCAAAUAGCAACCAAGCUAAUGAGCUUCCAAGCUACAGUAGCUGUCUUUAAAGUGCCAACAGGAACUACUUCAACUAAACGGAGAAAGCUUUCAUAUUACGGCUACACCUAAAAUCUACAGAUUUGUUUCAGUCUGCGUCCAUUAAACAUCAGCGUGGAUGUGAACGUUCCUCCAGCUCAUUACAAACAGCACAGCGCCCUCCAGUGGCCGGACGCUGAACCACACCCUGUCUGUAGACACACUGCCAGAGAGUGCACGCUCCUGCAUCGAGCGUGAAGUAACUUCCUGUCUUUGAACCACAAUGCGACGAUGGCGGAGCAAAACCCAGAAGAAGAAGAGGCAGCUUCCAGCGACAACCCCUGGACACAUCUGGACACAUCUGGACUCUUUUAAUACUGAACACUGAAAAACACAGAAAUCUUUCAGCUUUUAAAAGCACAUUAAAGUUUCAGUCUGUAGGUGAACAGGCAGCUCCAUAAUGCUCAGAGUGUUAAAUGUCUAAUAUACAUUUAUAAUAUUAUUAUUAUAAUAUUAACUCUGACUGAAGCUCCUAAGAUAACAUAAUGCUAACUUCAGUUCUUUACUUACACCAGAUGGAUGAAUUAUU